AACGAACGCUGGCGGCAUGCCUAACACAUGCAAGUCGAACGAGACCUUCGUGUCUAGUUGCUCACGGGUGCGUAACGCGUGGGAACCUGCCCUUAGGUUCCGAAUUACUCUCUGACAGGGGUGCUAAUACCGGGUAAUUUCCUCUAACCACAGAUUUAUCGCCUUUGGAGGGGCCCGCGUUGUAUUAGCCUGUUGGUAGGGUAAAAGCCUACCACGGCGACGAUCCAUAGCUGGUCUGAGAGGAUGAUCAGCCACACUGGGACUGAGACACGGCCCAGACUACUACGGGAGGCAGCAGUGGGGAAUAUUGGAAAAUGGGCGAAAGGAUGAUCCAGCAAUGCCGGGUGAGUGAUGAAGGCGUUAGGGUUGUAAAGCUCUUUUACCCGGGAUGAUAAUGACAGUACCGGGAGAAUAAGCUCCGGCUAACUCCGUG
rnacentral:rRNA from 1 species